GCCUUCAUGAAGCCGGAAUUGCUAGUAAUGGCAGGUCAGCAUACUGCCGUGAAUACGUUCCCGGGCCUUGUACACACCGCCCGUCGCACCAUGAGAGUUGGGAAUACCCGAAGCCUGUGAGCUAACUAAUAGAGGCAGCAGUCGAAGGUAGAAUCAAUGAUUGGGGUGAAGUCGUAACAAGGUACC
rnacentral:rRNA from 1 species